GUGAAUCAUCGAAUCUUUGAACGCAAAUUGCACUCUCUGGUAUUCCGGAGAGUAUGCCUGUUUGAGGGUCAGUUGAAAUAAAAAUCGGUGGGGUUGCUGCCUUUCGGGGUGACGCACCGGAUGUGGGUCGUCUUGCCUUCGGUUAAGUGACCUAAAAUUUUGCAUGAUUUUUGCGAACGUAUUUAAAUGAUUUUACGUACGUGUGCGAUAUCGAAUACUAGGUGCGGUCAUCCUCAUGAUCCGCGCCGAAAAUUGCUCAUCAAAAAUGCCU
rnacentral:misc_RNA from 1 species